CUUACACAUGCAAGUCGAGCGGUAACAUUUCUAGCUUGCUAGAAGAUGACGAGCGGCGGACGGGUGAGUAACGCGUAGGAAUCUGCCUAGUAGUGGGGGACAACAUGUGGAAACGCAUGCUAAUACCGCAUACGCCCUACGGGGGAAAGGAGGGGAUCUUCGGACCUUUCGCUAUUAGAUGAGCCUGCGUGAGAUUAGCUAGUUGGUGGGGUAAAGGCCUACCAAGGCGACGAUCUCUAGCUGGUCUGAGAGGAUGAUCAGCCACACUGGGACUGAGACACGGCCCAGACUCCUACGGGAGGCAGCAGUGGGGAAUAUUGGACAAUGGGCGCAAGCCUGAUCCAGCCAUGCCGCGUGUGUGAAGAAGGCCUUAGGGUUGUAAAGCACUUUCAGGAGUGAGGAAGGGCGUAUAGUUAAUACCUGUAUGUUUUGACGUUAACUCCAGAAGAAGCACCGGCUAACUCUGUGCCAGCAGCCGCGGUAAUACAGAGGGUGCGAGCGUUAAUCGGAAUUACUGGGCGUAAAGCGCGCGUAGGCGGUUUGUUAAGUCGGAUGUGAAAUCCCAGGGCUCAACCUU
rnacentral:rRNA from 1 species